GGCUGCACCAAUUUACAUUCUCACCGACUGUGUGAGCGGGAGGAACACCAACAUUUUAAUGGAGAGUAACAGGGGAUAAGCUGGUAAACGAGGCUGGGAAAGAGCGGCCAGGGAGGAGGAGGUGCGGAGAAAUUGAGCCCAAGAUGAGAGGACUUUUUGGUCUGAACUUCUCCAGAAAACAGACAUUGGCUUCUGGAGAAGGAACAUGAAGAUUUAUUGAUCCCCAAAUAUCUUUCAGAACAACAGAUUUUGAAAUUCAUCACAACACAAAGUCGAUACAUAUGUGACAGAUUCUGAAUGCCUUCGGUAGUGGAAAACUUCAGAACUCUGCAUAUGUAACAUUUAAACAGGAAACUAAAAUGCGUAUAUACACUUGCAAAUGAUGUUUGAUUUCAACUAAAAGAGGGGCAGAUUCCUGGCAACUUUGCACAGCUAAUGACUCUUCAAUUCUAAAAAAAUACAGCAUAGUUCAUUUUCCUCCAUCCUUCAGCAAAUAUUAAAUAUUUCAAGUUUUUUUUUU
rnacentral:lncRNA from 1 species